rnacentral:lncRNA from 1 species
UAAAAUAAAGAUUGAGUAUUUUUGAUAAGGUAAAAGUGUGAUUUUGAAUUUAAUCUUGCUUAUGUAUAAUGCCCAUGGAAAUUUAGAAGUUUUCUUUCAAUUUCAUAAUUUGUUGAACUCAAAAAUAUUUUUUUGAAUUUUGUGGGUAUAUUCACUGCAAACCCUCACGAGACACAACUCGUCCAUUUAAGGUAACAUUGG